AAAGCCUGAUCCAGCCAUGCCGCGUGAGUGAUGAAGGCCCUAGGGUUGUAAAGCUCUUUUGUACGGGAAGAUAAUGACGGUACCGUAAGAAUAAGCCCCGGCUAACUUCGUGCCAGCAGCCGCGGUAAUACGAAGGGGGCUAGCGUUGCUCGGAAUCACUGGGCGUAAAGGGUGCGCAGGCGGCCAUUCAAGUCGGGGGUGAAAGCCUGUGGCUCAACCACAGAAUUGCCUUCGAUACUGUUUGGCUUGAGUAUGGUAGAGGUCGGUGGAACUGCGAGUGUAGAGGUGAAAUUCGUAGAUAUUCGCAAGAACACCAGUGGCGAAGGCG
rnacentral:rRNA from 1 species